rnacentral:rRNA from 1 species
GAUGAACGCUAGCGGCAGGCCUAACACAUGCAAGUCGAGGGGCAUCAUGGCGUAGCAAUACGCUGAUGGCGACCGGCGCACGGGUGCGUAACGCGUAUGGAACCUACCCACCGCAGGGGGAUAACCCGCCGAAAGGCGGACUAAUACCCCAUGGUUCCCCGACCCUGCCUGGGGUUGGGGGUAAAGCCUACGGGCGGCGGUGGAUGGCCCUGCGUGCCAUUAGCUGGCUGGUGGGGUAACGGCCCACCAGGGCAACGAUGGCUAGGGGGUCUGAGAGGAUGGUCCCCCACACUGGUACUGAGACACGGACCAGACUCCUACGGGAGGCAGCAGUGGGGAAUAUUGCACAAUGGGCGAAAGCCUGAUGCAGCGACGCCGCGUGAGGGAGACGGUCUUCGGAUUGUAAACCUCUGUCUUCGGUGACGACCAAAGACGGUAGCCGAGGAGGAAGCCACGGCUAACUACGUGCCAGCAGCCGCGGUAAACCGAGAGUA